GACAGAGGUGCCGAGCGUUAGGCGGAAUCACUGGGCUUAAAGCGUGUGUAGGCGGAUGCCUAAGUACCUUGUGAAAUCCCACAGCUCAACUGUGGAACUGCUUGGUAUACUGGGUGUCUUGAGCCAUCUAGGGGCAAGCGGAACAAACGGUGGAGCGGUGAAAUGCGUAGAUAUCAGGAGGAACACCGGUGGCGAAGGCGGUUCUCUGGGAAUGACCUGACGCUGAGGAGCGAAAGUGUGGGGAGCGAACAGG
rnacentral:rRNA from 1 species